rnacentral:rRNA from 1 species
AUGGGGAAUAUGAACGAGGGGCUUCCCUACAAGAUUUACCGUGGCCCGCGGGCCACCUCUGUCAAGACGCCUCUGGGCGAGGACGCCACCCAGUUCUCCAUGUUUGUCUUCCUCCCGGACGAGCGCGACGGCAUGGCCACCAUGGUGGACGUGAUCACCGCGGCACCUGGGUACCUCUACAGCGUCCUGCCCACGGAAACCAAGCUAGUCCAAAUCAAGCUCCCCAAGUUCGAGGUGUCAUUGGACUGGGACCUUGGGAGCGACCUCCGUCGGCUGGGCCUCACGCUGCCCUUCUCGCGGAAGGUGGGCGACCUGCGAGGCAUGUACAAGCAGGACGACGGGCCGCCGACCUUCCUGACCAAGAUUGCGCACAAGGCGAUCAUCAAGGUGAAUGAGGAAGGGACCGAGGCGGCUGCGGUCAUGACGGCCUUGCGUGGCGGCGGACCAAUGCCGGACCAUGUGGAGUUCAUCGCUGAACAUCCGUUCACGUUCAUCAUCAUGGAGGAGCGGUCAGGGGUGAUCGUGUUCGCCGGCCACGUCCUCGUCCCUACCUGCAAGUGA